rnacentral:rRNA from 1 species
GUCUAGCCUGCCCACUGAAAUGUUUAAAGGGCCGCGGUAAUUUGACCGUGCGAAGGUAGCAUAAUCAAUAGUCUUUUAAUUGAAGGCUGGAAUGAAUGGUUGGACAAGAAGUAAGCUGUCUUUUUUUUAAUUUUAAAAUUUUACUUUUAAGUGAGAAGGCUUAAAUAUUUUAGUGGGACGAUAAGACCCUAUAAAACUUUACAAGAGUAGAUUAAUGUUUGGUUUGGUUGUGUAAAGGAAAUUAGUUGAAGGCUUGUUAUGCUGGGGCGGCAGAAAUAUAAUUUGUAACUGUUUAGCGAAAAAAAUAUGUUUAUGUAGAUAAGUGAUCCUUUAUUAGAGAUUAAAAGAUUAAGUUACUUUAGGGAUAACAGCGUAAUUUUCCUUGAGAGUUCAUAUCGACAGGAGUAGUUGCGACCUCGAUGUUGAAUUUAAGAUUUCCUUUUAGUGUAGCAGCUUUUAAGGUAGGUCUGUUCGACCUU